ACACUAAAAGGCACAAAGAACGAAGUGCAUUUCCAUCCGCCCUGUCUUUCCAGGCGGUGCAUCACCAGUCACGGCUAUUGAUGAGCACUUGGAACAAUACCAAAAUGCAGUGUAAGAUCAAUCCUGCUGUUUACUCCGUUGAGCUAAAGGAACAAAGAACAGAAGAAAGGCCUUAACCAGGCCAUCACAGAGCAGAGAAUGGAGGAUAAAAAAAACAGCCUGAUGGGCAGUCGCACAGAGUAAAUGUAUUUGGAGAAGCAGCAUCCCCGGCUGAGAUAAAAAACCAACGAUGAUUUGUAUUUUGUGCUGUAUCUUCAGGGGAUAAAAGCACUUCUAGCAGAUAGUAUUGGAGGCAAACUUGAAACACUGCUGCAAAGUGCUGUGCUCCUUGCCAAGGAGAGAAUAAAAACUCCCUAAUUGCUGAGGAGUGUUAAGUAUCUGCUUGUGCAUGCCUCUCUCCUCCCGUGGAGAGGCAACUCAACCAGGCCUGCCUUUUAACUCCAUGGGCCCCUGCUCCCCAACAGUUGGCUAGGGCUUGAUGUCAACAAAGCAACAGGAUACUGGGUCUUACUUGGAUGGCUCGGAGCAUCUGUGCCGCACUGAGCACACUGACGAGUUGUGCAUCCGGAAGGAGAGGCUCAACCACACUCAUGAUUACUUUCCAGCGUGCAAGUGGAGAACGUUAGGACCACAAGCACUGAAGCACAGGCAGCUCCAACACUCCUGCUGAGCUUUACCAAGAUGGGGCCUGUGAGAUGCCUCAACAGAUCUUGCAUUCUGCACUGAUUUACUGACACAGCGUGUGAAAACUAAAUAGUAACUAAGACCCUGGCUAGAACUCUUGUCUUUGGGGGCUUUAGUAAAUCCCAUUUUCCAGGUGCCAAGGCAAGAAGAAUGCAGCUGUACUAUGUUCAACUCAUCUUUAGGUUUAUGUUAAGAAGCCAAUAAUUAUUGCAUGCAAUGGAGGUCAGCUUCACUACGGCCAAUCUGCAAGCUGCUGAGAGACAUUAGCCAGUCACAAUCGAAGCAGCUGAGUUGUCAGAUUCUGCAACAGCACAGCACAGCACUACUUGACUAUCACUAUUACCCCCAGGACAAAGGCAAUGAUAAAUGGGCAUCAUCUAAUGCCAGGAAGGGGCAAAGCCACGACCAAAGGCCAAAUCCAUUUUGCAGACCCAAACACACUUACUUUCUAGAGGACUAUGUACCACUGGGCCAGGAGCUUUGCUAAAGUACCCUCAAAGGAGGUGUGUGAGAGCACAAUUAACCCGCCGUGCAAAGACGGGUCUGAUAUUCCACUGCGAUAAGAUAAUACCACAUGUGCUUAAAAUGUCCAUUAAAUAAUUAGGAACACACAAAACUGUGAGUAACAGCCCAGGGUUGGGGGUAGUACAUCACAUUUUUUCCUGUAUUAGUUUUUGUUUGUGCUUUCUCCAAAGUGAAAUAUUUUUGUAAAAAUCUCUAUGAUUUUAAAAGAAUGCCACCCUCCACAGCAUCCAUCUCAUCAACACACCCUACGAGAUCGUGCAUGACCCUUGAAUAAAUGAGCAGCAACGUUGCCUCUGGCUUGAGAAAGUUCCUUCAUUUCUCUGAGCUAUGUACUUAAAGCUAAAUACUGUUCCUAUGCUGGGGGUUCAGUAUUGUUGCUAAAAUUCUUUGCCUGGGAAAAAUUAAAGAAUAUCUACCCCUCUUCCUCGGCCCAAAGGAAAUACUGUAAAAAGAUUCACCAAACUUUGGAGGGGUUGGGGAGUUCCAGGCUUACUGACAAAGCAGUAAGAGAGUGGGGUUACAGCAGGUCACCUAAAAUAGCCACACUGGAAGGUCUGCACCCCACAUGGGGUGGCUUCCCUGUGGCAACUUAUAUGGAGCUACCCCCCUCAUCUUUCCUCUCUCAAUAAACCAAGCACAACUAAGGCACUAUUGCACACACCAUCUGGCUGAAGUGGAUGGUGGUUGGAUACACAAGUGAGGGUUCUGUGACCCUCCCAUGACUUCCCUUUCCUGUGAGGGAAGUAGUCAACAGGCUCUGCAGUGAUGAGCCUGUAUGAGGAGGCCCUGAAGAACUCCUGAAGAUGGUGGCUUGGAGGCUAGUCCUCUACAACAAGGGUCAAAGUCUCCAUUUCCUCGCCUUGUAAAACUGAAAGGAAAACCAUAAGAUCCACUGGUACAGAAGUGUCAAGAGUGCCAAAUGUGGGGAAGAAGAUAAAACAGAGUGCGGGUUUAAGCUGCUUGUGGACUAACACUUCAGAGGAAAGGCAACAAGGAGAAGAAUCCAUGUGGAUCAGCUUCCCUGAAAUAGUCCACAACACUUCUACAACAAGAGGGAAGAUGGAACAGAACGUGUGUGCCUACAGACAGACAUGUCGGGAGAAGUGGGGGAAAUUCCUUGCUUGGCUGAUUUUGUUUUCUCAGGAAAAUACAAAGGAGUGGGGUUCUAGACUGGGAGGAAACCAGUGAGACUGUAUGGGAGAUUGGUCAGGCAAAUUGGAGAAGUGUUGAACAGUAACAGAAAGAAUUCCCUUAACAGGGAAAGGAAUGCCAGCCAUAGAGUUAUGUGUCUGGUGACCCAGAUUUAGAUACAAAAACAUAGCACUUGCCUUACAGUUUACUAGUUUAUGCUAAGUUAAUAUGAAUGACCAUGGCCUGAGAAUGUAGGCUCGGGUUACUAGUCACAGAGCAAGUUUAGUCUCCAAUCAAUGCAUUCAGUGGGACAUCAAGUAGCUGGGUUACAGCAAAGCAGGGUAAAGACUACUGUAGGUUUCAGAUGCUAUCUGAUCACAUUCUUGGCUUUAAGGGUUGAUGGAAGCUGAUGGUCAGCUAUAGUUUCCUAAAUGUUUUCACUGAUAGUUGAGAGGACAUUAGGUUAGAUAGAGUUGUGAGUAAUAAACGACAAUUAAGGGAGUUACAGAUGGUGUUGCAAAUCUACCAUCACCAGUUCUGAUCAGUCAACCGACCUUGUAGAAUCUUGAAAAUGAGUGUGUGGUUUGGUUUGGUUUGGUUUGGUUUGAUUUGGUUUGGUUCAGGGACCUCCAGUUUACAUGAUCUUUAUAUGAGAUUUACUGGUUCAAAUUAUACAUUUUCCCCAUCAAAGUUUAGACAAGUGUAGAUAUGGAAGGACGAUUGAAUGACGUUAGCCAAAACUGGAUUUUAUCCUGUGGAGGAGUGAAUGAUCCAGAGGAUGCAAAAAUUGAUGAUGUAAGCAUGGAGUGAUUCUAAUAGUGAGCUGGAGAAUCUUACCUGGGGAUAGGAGGAAAUAAAUUCACAAGAACUAAAGUAAAGAGCAAGAGAGAUAUCCCUGCCAUGGAGUUCACAGUGAAUAUACAGUAUUCGUGCUGAUAAGAUUGAGAAGGUGGUGUGGAAAUUAGAUGAAAGAGGUAGACAUUGUAGAGAGGAGGUAAGCAGCUGGAAGGUCACAAGGACCGUGGACCAAAUACCUGAAUGUGUGAUCAUCCUAAUCCACACUGGAGACAGGCUAGAAAGCAGAGCACCGACUGCUAACCCUGGCUAACGAUGGCUGCCGUGCCAAGAGCUUCCCACUCAGGCCCGCUGUGUUUCCUCCCUCCACCUUCACAGAGCGGAUCAUGGAACUCAUAGACAAGCUCCCCUGCCCUCUAGCCAGAGUGAUCCUGGAAUAUUUAUUGCCCUCACUUCUUCUCAUGCAGAAUUUCUGGGGACCAACGUCAUCUGUUCAGGCAUCCUCAAACAGCCAGCUCUGCCCUUCUCCCGUCUACUCCCCGCUCCCAAUCCAUACUUCUCCCUAUAACAAAGAAGUUUACUGUUAUUAGCCCUAGGCACACUAUGCUAGGGAUUUCCCUCACCCCAAUCAUACUUUUGUAAAAGGUCCCUUUAUUAAACUUAGCACAAAUUAUCCUAAUUUGAGUAGGCCAUCUGUUUUCUGCUGGGAGCCUACUGAAAAAAUAAAUGACAGUAAUAUGAAUAUCUGUCUUGCUGGGUCCAUUGUAGAACCUAGAGAAAUUAUAUGCAACUAGCAAGGUCUGGCAAAUUAUACCCAGUGGUAGUGGGGUGGGAAGGAAUAGUAGCAGUUGUCUUAGUUGUUAUUGGGAUAAACCUACACACUAUAUUCAGGCACAAGCAGGGCCUUGAAUUUGUAACUAGAUGUUGAUCGAGAGUCAAACACCUGGCUUCUGAUACCACUCAGAAACCCUCAGAUCCAGUAGCAGCCAGCUAAAUCAAUCAAAUCAUUAUAUGAAAAAAUACAUCCAGUAAAGGGAUGGAAAAGAACUUUAAGGGGAAAAAAAUAACCAAGUAGUUGGCUUCCACGGUGAUCUCUAUAGAUAGGCUGUCCAGCAUAACCACGAUGUGGAUCCAUCUAGGGCAUGUGGAGAAUGAGAGACAGGAGAGGCCCUAGCCUCAAGUCACCCCCAUACUCCUGCUCCUGAACCCUGUAGCUCUAUUCUUGCUUCUGGGGUCCAGCAGCAGAACUGCUACUUAGAACCUGGGACCCAGGCCACAGACACCACUGCACACUUGAAAAUAGUUCACAGCCGGCAAUGACCUACCAUAUGCCUCAGAGCUUGACUUUGCAAAGGAAAGCCACCUCCCCAUCUCUUUUCUGGACCAUAGAAACCACCAGCCCUCGAUUUCAAGUGCAAGGACAGGAUUGAGGUUUCAUCCAGGGGAGACAACCUAGGAUGGGCUCAAAGGAAAAUAUCCUGAGAAUAAACUCAGAACAGACCCAACUCAUUUGUACAUUUAGCAAAACAAAGAGGAUCCACAUGCUGCUACCAAUGUUCAGUAUCAAUCAAAACACGCAAGGUCAUUAUAAACAUGCAAGACUGUUCUUUCCUGCCACUUUAAGUGGCUUCCCAGUACCAUCUGGGAGAAACCAAAUCCCCUCGUGGUUCUUCAAAAUGCACCAAUCUUUAAACUCCACAGUCUGCCAUUUUAGAAGCCACUUGUCUGCCUUCUCAGGUCCUUGUUAUGAUAUGCUCUCUCUGAGUGGAGCAUGGGACUCCUCAUAUGUUGUUCUCAACUUCCCACCCUCCCCCACCCUUCUACCUGUUUCAGUGACUUCUAUUGCACUUUGAAUACAGUGUGCUUUGUUUCUUCCAGGAAGCCUUCUAUAACCCUCAGAACAAUUACACUAGACUGUGAUACCCCCAUCUAGCCUUCUGUGUUCAUGCACAGUCAAAACUUUUGUAAUUAUUGCACUUCUGACUUCUUCCAUUAGACCACUCCAUAAGAGCACAGAGUGCAUCUGUCUUGUUCUAAACCUGUGGUCAUGACCCCUUUCGGGGAUGGAAAGACCCUUUCAUGGGAUGAAUAUCAGAUAGCCUGCAUAUCAGACAUUUACAUUACAAUUUGUAACAGUAGCAAAAACUAGGGUUAUGAAGAAGCAACAAAACAAUUUUACGAUGGGGAUCACAACAGCAGGAGGAACUGUAUGAAAGGGUCGCAGCAUUAGGAAGGGUGAAAAUCACCGCUGUCAACUUUACCCAAGCAUAUGAUGCAUAGAAAGCCCUCAGCAAACAGCAGCUCAAUAAAUGUGUGAUACUUAGAGCAUGUUUAAAAU